UGGGGAAUAUUGGACAAUGGGCGCAAGCCUGAUCCAGCAAUGCCGCGUGAAUGAUGAAGGCCUUCGGGUUGUAAAGUUCUUUUAGUAGGGAAGAAAUUGACGGUACCUACAGAAAAAGCUCCGGCUAACUCUGUGCCAGCAGCCGCGGUAAUACAGAGGGAGCUAGCGUUUUUCGGAUUUAUUGGGCGUAAAGAGCGCGUAGGCGGUUAGCCAAGUUGAUAGUAAAAUCCCAGGGCUCAACCCUGGAAUGUCUAUCAAGACUGGUUGACUAGAGUUCGGUAGAGGAUGAUGGAAUUCUUGGUGUAGGGGUGAAAUUCUUAGAUAUCAGGAGGAACACCGGUGGCGAAAGCGAUCAUCUGGGCCGCAACUGACGCUAAUAGCGCGAAAGCGUGGGGAGCAAACAGG
rnacentral:rRNA from 1 species